rnacentral:rRNA from 1 species
UCAUAGAAUUUAUUCAAAUUCAUGAUGUCGUAAGGGAAAAUAAUGAUAAUACCUUACUAUGAGUGUCGUCCAAAUCUGGUGCCAGAAGACUCGGUAAGACCAGAGACGCAAACGUUAAUCAUCAUAAACAGGCGUAAAGGGUUUGUAGGCAGCUUUUAUAAGAUAAUAAUAUCUAAAUUGAAAGCUAGAAUCAAAAAGAGGUUAUAGUGUAUAACGCCUAGAGGAGGGCUGAUAUCCAUAGAUCCUAGGCAGAAUACUCAGGGCGAAGGCCACUCUCCACUAAUGAUUGACGCUGAGAAACGAAGGUUAGGGUAGGAAAUAGGAUUAGAUACCCCGGUACUCCUUUCUGUAAACGAUGAAUGGUAGUCAUUAGUUUUAAUAAAUCACUAGAGGCGAAGUUAACACAAUAACCAUUCCGCCUUGUGAGUACUACUGCAAAGUAGAAAACAAAAAAAUUAGUCGGUCUCGAAGCAAACGGAGUGAAGCAUGUUAUUUA